rnacentral:lncRNA from 1 species
UGAUGAGUCAUUCAUUUAUUUAUUUUUAUACCAGAUAUUGAACCUGGGUUUCUUAACCACUAAGACACAUCCUCAGACUUUUUUUUUAAAAUAUGUUUAUUUAGAGACAGAGUCUAGCUAAGUUGCUUCAGACCUCUCUAGCUUGCUGAGGCUAGUUUUGAACUCCAUAUUUUCCUGUCCCAUCUUCCCCAAUGCUUGGACUACGGGUGUGUGCCUCCAAGCCCUGCUGGGCCUUUCAUUUUGGCCAGAUCUGAGCCUCUUAGUACUUUUGUUAGGAAAUGGCCAGGAGGAGGGAGAGUGGAUCUUAAAUGGAUGGUUUGUUAUUGUAAAGGGCUGGGGUAAUUAAUCUAACAGUCUUCUUAAUAUUGUCCUGAGCAUUGAAUUUACCCAUAUUGACCCUACCUCUCCCCCUGCCCAAUGCCACU